AUUUAGACUGAAAAAUGAGCAUCAAAACCAUAGGAUUGCUAGUUGUGCUUGCUGGUCUUUGUUGUUUGACCGAAGAAAUGAGUCUCGGCUCUGAUGCACUGACUGGUCGAGACGCCGGAUUACAAGGCCCUGAUAUGAACCAAGUAACGGACGUAACUCAAAUCUCAGACCAGCUCUCCAGUAACAACAUGGAGAAGAGGUCUAUAAAAUGCAUACUAAGCCCUAGUUUGUGCAAAUAAAACUUAACGGGUU